rnacentral:rRNA from 1 species
UCAGUUCAGAUUGCAGGCUGCAACCCGCCUGCAUGAAGUCGGAAUUGCUAGUAAUCGCGGAUCAGCAUGCCGCGGUGAAUACGUUCCCGGGCCUUGUACACACCGCCCGUCACACCAUGGGAGCCGGUAAUACCCGAAGUCAGUAGUCCAACCUCGUGAGGACGCCUGCCGAAGGUAGGAUUGGCGACCGUGGGUGAAGUCGUAACAAGGUAAC